rnacentral:rRNA from 1 species
CUAACACAUGCAAGUCGAACGAGACCUUCGGGUCUAGUGGCGCACGGGUGCGUAACGCGUGGGAACCUGCCUUUAGGUUCGGAAUAACUCAGAGAAAUUUGAGCUAAUACCGGAUAAUGUCUUCGGACCAAAGAUUUAUCGCCUUUAGAUGGGCCCGCGUAGGAUUAGCUUGUUGGUGGGGUAAAGGCCUACCAAGGCGACGAUCCUUAGCUGGUCUGAGAGGAUGAUCAGCCACACUGGGACUGAGACACGGCCCAGACUCCUACGGGAGGCAGCAGU